AGGCACCGGAGCAUGGGUCUGACGGUUAUAUUCUGGCAUGCAGAACCUAAGACCCCACCCGAGCCAAGCGGGGAGAGAGAGGAGGGUAAAGGGAUGGAGGAGAGGGCGGCUUGCGCCCGGCUGGGGAAAGCUCCACGCAGCAGCACCCGGAGGUCCGGUGUCCGGCGCGCCCUGGUACCACUCUCUCCACUGCGGUAGCAUCCCGACAUGACAUUGCAGCUGCAACAAAGCGCCGGCCUACGCCGUCCCUCGAAGCCCCACACCGCAGCCCCGGCCCCACACCACGCAGAGGGGCAGUGGCCGUGGGCGGGGGGCUGUGGCUGCGGGUGUGGGGAGCGCGAGGUAGGCCGAGGAGGGGAAAAAGCCCUCAAAUGCGCAGAAGCCGGGCGGCCACCUAGCGCCUCCUCCAGCAAAGCCAGACUGCAGGGAAAACAAUUCGUCUUCGUUCCCGAGCCCCGGCGGAGCCCUGCAAUUCGUCCAGAUAACCUAGACAGGGCCCUGCGACGCCUUUCGAUGGUUUCGGACACGAUGGUUAAAUCAGAGAGCGAAGGUGGAUAGACCACAGAGUACUUAGAUCAACUGCCUGACAAGAAAAAGAGGCCUGUGCAUUGCUUCUCAAACUUUGCUGCGCUGUGGAAUCUCCUGGAGAGUUGAAAACAUGUAUAUUGAUUCCUGGGCCUCAACUAUGGAGACUCUGAUUUCAUUGGAACAGGACAUAACCUGGCCUGGGGAUUGAGGUACUGACAGCACAUGGCACACUGUAUUGACAUUACUGCUUCAGCCAUCUGGUCCACACCCCUCAACUGGGAGCCCUAUGGUGCUGAGCUUAUCCUAGCCUUCCUUGGUCCCUUCUGCUUCAAAAGAAGUUCACUAUUUAAACUAUCAGCUUCAAGAUCCAACACCCAGUGCUUCUGAAGGUAACUUGCUAAGUCGCGUCUAGGAAGGGUGGGAGCCCUCCAGUCAGGAUGUCUACAAGCACUUGUUAAGCACCAGUUUUCUAGGCACUGGAGGAAAGAAAUGAGAGAAAAGGCAGAGAAUGAGGACAGAAGAAGGAAAAGAAAGUUCCUGUCAAGCUGUUUUUGGAGAGAUAAGACUUACAUUAUGAAAUGAAACCACAAUCAAGACGAAGGCCAGCAAGAAGAGCUCUAAGGACCUGCUCUCCAGGAAACAGCUAUAAUUAAUGAAAAUUGUAUUAAAACAGCCAAUUGACAUCUCUGAAAAUUGAUCUAAGGAUAUAUGCAAAUGAAGAAAGAUUUAUUCAAAAAAAUAUGCUAAACCUCGGUAAGAACACCAAGAGUCUGGCACUUGAGUCACCACCGCUCCUGUCCUCACUCAUCCAUAUUUCAGUGCAAUGCCUGAAGCUCCAGUCUGGGUGGAUGGCCAAGAAAACAAGGUCCCUCAACUCUUAGCCUCCAGUUAAAUAAUACGUUAACUUACCAAGAAGGGCAGACCACCAGCAUUUCUCAUCCCCUCCAGCUCCAAGUUCAUAGGCUACAUUCUAGGCAAGUAUGUCCCAAAUAUAGUGGCUCCUUUCCUCCACUCAUCUCAUACUUUUAGAGGCACAGGCUUGACCCCAGAUGUGGCAGGCUGAAAAUAAUGAGAUUGUGACUACUCUUGCCUCAGCUUAUUCAUGGAACAAAGAUUCCAUGCUGGAAAAGGCAAGCCAGCAGAGCAGAGGCUAUCACCCCCAUCCAAUGCCCUGCUUGUUAAGCAGGAAUAUCACUCCAAGAUAAAUUUGCCACUGCUGCUCCAGAACAGGGACUGUUUUCUUCUGCUGCUCCAGAACAGGGACUCCAAGAUUUUGUUCAGAGGGAGAGGUGCUUCCUUUCUAUUUUUUGUUUUUUCAGAAGAAUAGAAAGUUCCAAACUUCUUCCUAAAGAAAUGGGCUUUAUUUGAAGCACAGUAUGGGGAAGUUCAAGCCUAAGGUCACUCUUGAAAACAAUGAAGAUUUUGGUGGUAAGCAGUUAAAAGGAGGCUGGUAGCUCCAUUUGAGUAACAAGGUAAAUUGUAGUUGGCUAGAGACUGCUAAGGGGAACCAUCCAGGGGUCAGAACAAAUCUCAAAGACUUGCCUCAGAAGCUAUCUCUGCAAAGGGCCUAAAUUUAAUUGUAUCAGACAAUGAAGUAGUUAACAUCCUGGGCGUUAUUCAAAACAGCCGAGCAAUCAGCCAGUAAUUAAUGGAGCAUAAAAGCUGAGUGUGAUACUAGAAGAAGCAGGCAGGUGGCCAGAGAAAUUGGGAAAAUAUACAAUCAAAGCAAGUCCUAAUAAAGUCACUGUAAUUCCACUAUGACAAUUUGUAAUAGCAUAAAAAAUAAAAUAAUUAGGAAAAGAUUUAACCAAGUUUCAUGUACACUGAAAACUAUGAAACACUACACAAAGAAAUUAAAGAACAUCUAAAUAAAUGUUCAUGGGUUGGAAGAUUUAAUAUUGUUAUGAUGUUAAUAUUCGCCACACUGAACUAUAGAUUCAAUGCAAUGUCUAUCAAAAUUCCAACCACCUUCUUUACAGAAAAGGAUUAGUUAAUUCUAAAAUUUAUAUGGAAAUUUAAGAGACCUAGUAUAGGCAAACUAUCUCAAAAAACAUGCUAUUAGGAAAGUUAAAAGACAACCCACAGAUUGGGGGAAAUUUAUUCAAAUCAUUUAUCUUUUAAGGGUCUAGUAUUUAGAAUAAUAAAGAACACUUACUGCUUAACAACAGAAAGAAAAACAACCCAAUUUUAAAAUGGGCAAAGGAUUUCAAUAGACAUUUCUCCAAAGAAGCUGUACAAAUGUCCAAUGGAAAUAAAAUGUGCAAGAAACAUAUGUAAUUUUUUUUUUUUUUUUGAUGGAGUCUUGUUCUGUCAACCUGGCUGGAGUGCAGUGGUGCAAUCUCUGCUGACUGCAAUCUCCACCUCCUGGGUUCAAGCAAUUCCCCUGCCUCAGCCUUCAGAGUAGCUAAGAUUACAGGUCUUUGCCACCAUGCCCAGAUAAUUUUUAUAUUUUUAGUAGAGAUGGUGUUUCACCAUGUUUUCCAGGCUGCUGUCAAACUCCUGACCUCAAGUGAUCUGCCAUCUCAGCCUCCCAAAGUGCUGGGAUUACAGGCAAAAAAUAUGUAAUUUUAAAGUUUCUAGUAGCUGCCUUUAAAAAGUAAAAAAGAAACCAAUGAAAUCGAUUUUAAUAAUGUUUUAUUUAACCCAACACAUCCAAAAUGUUAAUAUUUCAACAAAUAAUAUAAUAAAAUUAUUGAUAAGAUAGUCUACUUUUUUAAUGGUAAAUCUUCAAAAUCUGGUGUGUUUUACAUUUAAGAGCACAUGUCAGUUUGGUCUACCCACAUUUCAAGUACUUAGCAGCCAUAUGUGGCUAGUGGUUACCCCCUUAGAUAGCAUAGUUCUAGAGCAACCUGCGCUCACCUCUGUCAUUACACUUUUCUCUCAGGAUGGUUACUCUUGUUUGCUAACCUGUUUUCCUUUACUAAGCCCUCUAAAGGCAGAGACUCUAUCUUCACUACUGUUAUAGCCUGGCAUCAGCAUAGGAUCUAGGGCAUAUAUACUCGUUGAAUGUAUUUGAUUAGAAGGUAAGCAUGCCAACCUUAUUAUACUUGAGAUGCUCAUUUUUAUGAUCUUCUUCCUCCCCAGAGUAUUCAGAAAAACUGGGACUUGAGAGUUCUUUUCAGGAAGAAAUACCAUUGGCACUCUCUCUAGCUAACAAUAUUAAUCAUCACUACCUACUCUCAAGUCACUCUGCAUUUUUUAUUAUGUUAACACAAAAUUCUUGUGAGUUUGAUAGAAUUGUAUUCUCCCUCACUGAGAGAUGACAAGACCAAGGGUCAAAGAUGUUAAAUUACCUGCUCGAUAACUAGUGGUAUGCUAAUUAAGAUUUUAAAAUGAGCUUUUUCUUGGUGGACGGUGUUAAGGAAGCCCUUCCACUUUAAAGGUACAUUUCAGGGGAUUGUUUUUGUUUUUGUUUAAUCCCUGCACUUUGAGAGGUCAAGAUGAGAGGAUCGCUAGAGCCUGGCUAGGCCUUGUAAGUUAGAUUGACAGAAGACAGAUUAAUAAGAGAAAAACAACUUAUUAGCAAGUGCAUUGUGCUUACCUACCUGAGUACCCAAAGAUGACUAACUUAAAGGAUUGCUUCUAAUUUGAGAUUAUCUAGCAUCUCAGUAGAGGAACAAUACAUAAAGCAAUUGGCCAAUAUCCAUGGUAUAAAUACUCCCAUCAUAGCUAAUUUCAAACAAUCCACAUGGUAUCCCUGAACAUGAAGUAGGGAAGAGGCAAUAACACGUAGCUCCAGUGUGCCCCAGCUCCAACACUUUGCCAUAUGAGAAAGAGGAUUUGUGGAAAGGAAGUAGCAACUGAUAUUUUGAGUACUUGUCAAGUAUUGAGUAAUCUGUAAGGUGCUUCACCAAUGUUAUCUUAUUUGAUCAUGAUAAUCAACUUUUGAGGUAGGUAUUUAUUAUCUCCACUUUACAGCAAUGGAAAAUAAGACUUGGGUUAGGUAACAUGCCAAAGAUUACCUGCUAAUACAUAGGAUGAUCCGUGGCUAAAUUAAUGGCUAACCCUUCUGCCUUCUCCUUUACUUUUCAACUCUUUCUUUACGUAUUCGGGUUCUCCAUUCUUGGCCUCGGUAAAAGUCUUAUUUUUACCAGGACUGUGAUUCCAUGCUAGCUCCCUCAGGCUCUGCCCCAGGGUAAGGGUCAUACCAGGUUGACUCACCAAAGAUUCUUAUGGCUUCACUUCCUAUAGAACUUUACGUGAUCUUGUGUUUCCACAGAACAGAAGCCUAAUGGAGGCUGGAGUGAGAAGCUUUCUUCAAGUGGGCAAAAAAUGUUCGUGUGGUGGCUUUGGCUCUAGGGCAUUCCUCUGCAAGCUGGUUCCAUAGUCAGUGUCGAUGUGAGCAUGAGACAUGAAAUAAAACAUCAUCAGAUGCUGUCUUUCUCCGUAGAGUAUCAGGAAUAGUAACUCCUACCAGUUAGUGAGUAGUACAAUGCAGCAUAUGGUUCACAUCAUUUUUUAAAAACCCUGAAAGGUUUAUAUUAUUAUUCCUGUUUUAAUCUUGGAAAUAGGGCUCAGACAUUUAAAUAACUUGCAAAAAGACCCUCAACUGAUAAGUGGCAAAGUUAGGUUAUGAAUCUGGGUCCGCCUAACUUCUAGGUACAUCAUGUCUCUACCAAACUUUCACAAAGUUCGACAGUGAACUCUGCACUCCCAGCAGCCUCUCUUGGGUUCCUUUUAUGCCUUUUGUUCCUGUUAUUUCAUGUUUCCUUGCUUGGCUUGGUCUAUUUGAUGUCUGAAUGUUGGCCAGGUGACACCUGGCAUGUGGGCAGACCGAUAAUUAAAAGACAGAUUCCACCUUUCCCGUGUUCUCUUUGGUUAAACAAACAGCAACUAAUGAAGCUUGCUGACGUCAAAGUUGCAGUCCUGUGGGAGGGUGUGGUGCUCACACACCCAUUUCAUACAUCAGCUAGGCAAACAUAAGACUAAAGACAGAACCAGACCUACUCAAAACAAAUAGGUGGGAAGAAAAGCCUAACACUUCAUCCCAUUGCCUCACAUUAGUAUCUGUUCAUAUACAUUGCCUUUGAGAAAAUGGUAAUAGUCCAUGCCUUUAUAUCUAAAGGUACAUUUCAGGGGGUUGUUUUUAUUUUUGUUUAAUCCCUGCACUUUGAGAGGUCAAGAUGAGGGGAUCACUAGAGCCUGGCUAGGGCCUUGUAAGUUAGAUUGACAAAAGACAGAUUAAGAGAAAAACAACUUAUUAGCAAGUGCAUUGUGCUUACCUACCUGAGUACCCAUAGAUGACUAACUUAAAGGAUUGCUUCUAAUUUGAUAUUAUCUAGCACCUUUGCAGAGGAACAAUACAUUUUUAAAUAACUGACAAGACAAAGGAAGAGGACUUUCCAUUUCUAGGGGCAACACAUUGUGGGAAGGCAAAUAUAUGGAGAAACUAGUGGAAGGUUAAGGGCAAAUUAGUAAAGUUUGUUAGAUAGGUUCCUCUGGUGCCAUCUUUGGGCUCAUAAAGGUCUAAGGUUGUCUACGUUGAUUAACUUCUGUUCUUCAUAGUAGAGAGAGGAGCAGGGGCAUCUAUGCAAAUUUAUGCACUUUUUUAGGCAAAUAAGGGUAGAGGGGUUUUCUUGUAUCUGCAUCUUCUCAAUUGUCUUCAGCUUAAAAUAAUCCUUACGUCAAAAUGGCAUAUUUUGGGGUGGUAUAUUCUGCUACCCUCCUACAAUGGUAACCAGUAACUUCUAUUUUUCCCCAAUCAUCAUAAGCCCCCCAAAUUCCCAAAACUCUCCCCAGGUGGCAUUACAUUUUGCAUAAAAGUUCUUUCCUUUUGAACAUUAGCAUAUCUAAUCUACAGAAGAAAGUUGGGCCACUUGCCUUUAACUAUGUGUUGUGGGUGGAAUGACUGUCCUCAAAAGGCUGUCUACAUCUCAACUCCUAGAACUUAUGAAUGUGAGCUUAUUUGGAAAAGGUCUUUGCAGAUGUAAUUAAGUUGAGAACAUUGAGAUAAGAUUAUCCUGGAUUAUCCACGUGGACCAUAAAUGCAGUGACGAUGUCCUUAUAAGAGACCGAAGAGACAUAAUUCUUCCCUAGAGCCUUAAUUCAAGGAAUCUGUUUUUUCACAGUCUGCUGUAAAUCUCCUUGGACUGUUCCAUUAAUCUUUCCUGUAUUUAGUGAUUUGUGUUGCAAAGUUUGCCUAAUGAAUUGACUGAACCACGUUUGGAGGCCUUUGAAACCUGGCAUACCUCUGUAGCCAAACUUCUUUGUGUUUUUUUUUUUUUUGAGACGGACUUUCACUCUUGUUGCCCAGGCUAGCGUGGAGUGCAAUGACAAUCUCAGCUCACCACAAUGAUCACUCCCAGGUUCAAGCAGUUCUCCUGCCUCAGCCUCCCAAGUAGCUGGGAUUACAGGCAUGUGCCACCACACCCAGAUAAUUUUUUGUAUUUUUUUUAUUAGAGAUAAGUUUUCUCCAUGUUGAUCAGGCCAGUCUCGAACUCCCGACCUUAGGUGAUCCGCCUGCCUCACCCUCCCAAAGUAUUGGUAUUACAAGCAUGAGCCACAGCCCUUGACCUAUAGCCAAACUUCUAACUAUUCCUUUCAGCCCUGAGUAACAAAUAGUUUGGAUAGAAAAAUAAUAAAGGUUGAUUAGGCAAGAUACUUAUUAAUUAUUAAAAGGAAAAUCAGAAAGUAAACGAAAAUGGAAGGUAAGACUCUUUCCCCAGGAAAAGCACAUCAUUUUAAAUCACAAAGAAAACAUGUAGGAGAAACACAUGAAUAAGCGUCAGUCUGGAGCUUUAGACCUGGUGAAAAAUAUACAAUUAAGAAAGAGUGAAAUUCAUUCAGUGCACAAAUAUUUACGAGGAGCCGAUUUUAUGCCAGUUCCUGCUCUAGGCACUGAGGAUAAAACAAUCAAUCAGACAAUAUCCCUGUGCUCGCAGGUCUUAUGUUCUAGUAGGAGACAGAGGCAAUAUACAAAUUAUCAAAUAACUGUAUAAUUCAGCGUCAGGUGCUACAGGAAAAAUAAAAUAGGGUAAGGAAAUAUGAUUGGUUGUGGCAAAAUAGCAUAUAUUUUAUAUAAGGAAACCAAGAAAAAAGGGGACAUUUUGAUCAGAGACCUGAAUAUAAUAGAAAGUAUGGGGAAGAAAGUUCUAAGGAGAGUCAAGGCGAUAUGAUGUGAUUCACCUUUCAAGGACCAGACAAAGACAGUGAGGACAACAGGGAAUGAGUGGGAGGAUCCCGGUAGGAAGCCAGAUUCUCUGGUCUUUUGGGUGUGGUAGGAAUUCUGUCUGAAGGCCAUCACACACCAGGAGCUACAUAUUUCAGGGCUCCCUAAAAUAUGGUUCCUUUAUAUUCCCCUUCCAAAUCCUUCAAAAGAUAUUGCUUUGGCACUCAAUCAGAGAGCACGAGAACAGAUGUUUAAAACAUGGGUCACAGCCUACCAUUAAUGGAGUUAAUUAUAGGAGCACCUCCAGAGCAUUUGGUUUUGAAGUAUGAAUUAUUAUCCUCCCCCACUUUCUUAUCUCUAAAUGCCACACAGGUAGGCAGUGGAACAGAGGAAGAAACCAACCUUGGUGAGUUUUAUUUCUGCUCAGAGGGUUUUUACUUCUGAGUAUCCAAUUUGUAUUUAGAUAUACCCUUAUAGUUUAUUUAUUUGGGAAUUUUUAGAUUUAGAUUUUAGCAAGAAUCUCUUGAUGUAUAGCAUUCCUAUUUGAGAAAUAAGAAAAUUACGUUUCAGAAAGGCUAAUUACAGUGUUAGUACUACCCAACAGGACUGGGAAAAGAGAUUUCACUACAUAGGACCCUGGUUCCCAUCUCAGGAGCUCUAGACAACUCUCCAAGACUGUUACAAGCCACAAAGAUCUAAAUAUGCAUCACUGAGGGAGAGACUGACAAUAGGGUUACUUUAGGAAAUGCUAAUAAAAUAGUCUCUCCUAGAAAAGUCACAUUAAAAAUUUGAUAAAAACACAUUGGGGGGAUACUUUUCUCUUUGAGUAUUCACUCUCUCAGACUCAACGCUCUCCUUCUAUAACAGAUACUUUGUAAUAUUCCUUUCACUACUCUGAAAUGAAAUUCACACAUAAUAUAACCUCCUGUUUGUGUUUGUUGUAAUAUGCAGAUAUGUUCUAGACCCAGAUCAUUAUAAACAGGUUUUUCACCUACGUGAAUGUCCUCAGAGACAUCUGACAAGUUGGGGACAACUUGGGAAAGUUGCAGAGGACGUCGGACAUUUUCUUCAAGCCAGCGUGUCCCACACAUUACAAGGCAAGAAACAACCCAGACCCUUGCUCAUUCUGCCGGUAGUGCUCCCCUUCCCUGUAACCCCCAAAUUCCCAAAACUCUCCCCAGCUGGCAUUACAUUUCACAUCAAAGUUCCUUCCUUUUGAACAUUGGCCUAUCUAAUCUACAGAAGAAAGUUGGACCACUUGCCUUUAACCUUGUGCUGUGGGUGGAAUGACUGUCCUCAAAAGCCUGUCUACGUCUCAAGUCCUAGGACUUAUAAAUGUGAGCUUAUUUGGAAAAGGUCUUUGCAGAUGUAAUUAAGUUGAGAACAUUGAGAUAAGAUCAUCCUGGAUUAUCCAUGUGGGCUGUAAAUGCAGUGACAAUGUCCUUUUGAGAGAUAGAAGAGAAGACACAGAAGAGGAGAACGCCAUGUGACUACAGAGGCAGAGGCUGGCAUUACACUGCCACAAGCCAAGGAAUGCUAGGAGCUACCAGAAGCUAGAAGAGGCAAAAAAGAGUUCUCCCCUAGAGCCUCAUACGGGACAUAGCCCUGCUGGCACCUUGAUUUUAGACUUUGGCCUCCAGAAUGAUGAGAUAAUUCAUUUCUGUUGUUUAAAUCACCAAGUUCGUGGUAAUUUGUUACAGCAGUGCAAGGAAACCAAGAAUACGUUUUUUGGAGCUUCAAGACAGGAGGACAUCUAGGUUGUCUGUGUUCACUGAUGUAUUUCCAGCACUUAGAUCGGAGCCUAAAAACUAGGAAGAGCUCAAAAAAUACUUGUUGGAUUGAAUGAAUGAACGACAGCUUCCCUACAACAUGUAAGAGUGGAGCCUAAUUGGAGGUGUUUCGGUCAUGGAAGCAGAUCCCAGUUGAACGCCUUGGUCCUCUGAGUGCAGUAAUGAGUUCACAGAAGCUCCGAUUGUUUAAAGGAGCUGGCACCUCCUCUUCUCUCUCUUGCUCUUGUUAUCACCACGUGACACACCUGCUCCCUCUUCACCUUCUGUCAAGAGUAAAAGUUUCCUGGGCUUCACUAGAAGCCAAGUAGUUGCUUGUGCCAUGAACCAACAGCCUGUAGAACCACAAACCAAAUAAGAUCAGUUUGCCAGCACAGUUGGGUUCUGAUGACGGCCUGCUUCCUUCAUAGACAAAAAUGUUUCACUGAAACCCCACACGGCAGAAGAGACUAUUACAGAGCUAGCUUUCUAGGGUCUCUUUGAUAAGGGCAUUAAUCCCAUUCAUGAGUGCUCCAUCCUUAUGACCUAACCACUUUGCAAAGUCCCCACCUCCUAUGCCACCACCUUGGGGGUUAGAAUUCCAACACAUGAAUAUGAAGCAGGAACAAACAUUCAGACCAUAGCAUAUAUUCUCCUGGGUUUUUUUUUCUUAGUAACAAAACCCUAAUAUUAUUUGGAGCUAACUCUCUUUUGGCUUAUUUUAUGUAAAAGAGUAAUUCAUUUUUAACUUUUUAAAACCGUAGUGAUUUGAGGUCUCCUUUGUGUACAGAUAAUCUGAUACAUACUGUAGUGCAUGCUGUCAGGAUGCACCCUCCAAUAUACCCCUUCAAGACUGAUGAACUUACUUACCCCACCAGCUGUUGGGAGCAUUGCCCACAGAGACCCCUCAUCUUCCAGCUCUUUUACAUACCUGCCUUCUGCUGAAGAGAGUUGCUUUAUGCCAGUUCAUGCCCUAUUUCUAAAAUAGUCUACACCCAGUCACACUGAUUGAUGGGGAACAGUAACAUCUGGUCCCUUGUUCUAGCUUGGUGCAACUCUGAAGGGCCAUCAGCUUCGGAGCUACUUCUAGGCUUAGUUUAGGCUUUAGUUGAAACUGCAUUACAGUCCAACUUCUUCUGCUUAAUCUUACUUCCUUUUUCCCUUCCAUACUUGUUGAUCCCCAAAAGCACUCCCUAAUAAACUUCCUGCACACUAAUAUCUUCCCAGAUCACAGGGAAAGCAACCUGUAACAAAGACAUAUAGAUUUUUUCACCCACAAAAAUUAAUAGGUGAAUCAGAAUUGAAAAGGCACCAAAUGAACCAAUUUCUUGAGCGUUUUUGUUAAAAAAGUAAGUAAUAAACUUUAGGCAGAAAUUUUCCAGCUGCAACUAACAACACAACCAUGUAUGCUGAGCAAAUAUAUAUUUACUACAUACUGGACACUCUAGUGGUCUUCAACCAAAGAUUGUACCACUCUUCUGAGGACCUUUGGAAAUUUGCAAGGGUAUUUGAGGGGUGAGAACUGGUUACCAUGACUGGCAGGUAUUACUGGUGUUUAGUGUUGAGGUCCAGAGAUGGUAAAUAUCCAGGAAUAGUCAAUAGAGUCCCAACAGUGAAGGACGUUUUCUUGCUGAAGAGGAUACAAAGAGGUAUAAGACAUAGUCUCCUCUUACUGCUCUUACUUAGCUUAUUUUCUAAUCAUGGAAAAAGAAAAAAUACUAAAUAUGAUAAAUGUAUCAAGAGCAUGUAACAGCAUCUACUGAUAGCCAGAUGGUUUGUGUAGACAGUAAAUGCAAAAAUGCUUCACAGAGGAAAAUGAUUGCAAUGAAUAGGGGUGCAGGGGAAGAGCUGCAAGACUCUAAAAAUUAACAGAAUAAUUUUUUAGGACUUUCAUUCAGAGAAUUUUGUGUCUUCUUUUAACAAAUUAUAUAUAACUAUGCUAUUAAGUGAAGGCAAGAUUUAAGAUCAGGGCCAUCUAAUGCCCAAAGUCCAUCCAUGCCUUUUCUACUCCCCUCUGUGCCUUUAUUUAUGAUAUUUUACUACCUAAAACUCACACAUUCACUUGCCAGUAAACCUGUCUGCCUCCCCUUGCUAAAUUGAAAAGAAAUUGAUCUCUGGAGCAGACCCUAUUCAUUUCUGUUGGCCACGCAGGAGAUGGCAGAGGCUAGAACACAUUCGCAGGAAGUGGCCAGCUGUCAACCCAGACACUGACACUCAGCAAAUGCUGUCUCCACAAUCUCUGGAGCCCCUGGUCUCAUAUACACCAUAGUGCUGGGAGGAUGGUCACUUGGGAAGCAGGCAUGUUCUUCCUCACAGCUAGAAAUCAAAGUUACUGUGGUUCCUCUAGAUUCCAGCUUCCUCUAGAAAUUUUCUUAAAUUUCUAAAUUUAAGAAAAAUGGGUCAGACACAGUGGCUCAUGUCUGCAAUUCCUUUGAAACCAGACAGGUCCCUGAUUCCCUCACAGGAUGUGUGACAGGAAUGUAGCUUGCCUGUUCAGUUGCUCUGCUGCUCAAACCUCUUGCAAAAGGGGAAGCAUGUAGAUUGGCAGGUGUAGAGGCCGGAAGAGUGCUUUGGGCUCCAGCCCCACAGUAAUGUCUAGAGGUGGUUGCCUGCAACCCAGCAUUACAAAGCUCUUUCCUUUUUGCCCUCCACAGAUGGCUUGAGUGUUAAUCAGCUCAAUGAACCCUCUGCCUUUUCGCAAGGGCAAAGGGCCAGUGUGACAGCUUUCAGUAUCCCGAGCUCUUGUCCAGCCUCCCGGAAAAACUGGGUCACAUACAAACCCUAAGGAUGAAUGCAAGGUUUUAUUGAGUUGUGGAGGUGGAGGUGACUUUCAGCAGGAUAAAUAGGGAGCCAGAAGCAGGGGACGGAGUGGGAAGGGGAUCUCCCCCUUUCUGACCACUCCCAGCCUAAUUCCUCUUGGCAUUCAGAUGUUCCUCCUCGUCUUCCUUUCUCUGCCGUGUCAUUCCUCCAUCCAUCUGCUGAUCUGCUGGCUUGUUGGUCUGCUUCUGGAGCCUGAGGUUUAUAUGGAUGCAGGUUAGAGGGCAUGGCAGGUCAAAAGGCAACUUUUUGGGCACAAAAACAGAAAUGGCUGUUGUCAUUUAGAACCGUGGGUAUCCAGGCUUGAGGGUUGGGCCUUUGCCAGGGAACUACCCUCUUCUAUCCAGUAUUUCUUGGUCUCUUGUCUGUAUCACCAUCACUUUCGAAGGUGGAAGCAGGAAGAUUGCUUCAUGCCAAGAGCUCAAGACCAGCUGGGGCAACACAGCAAGACCCCAUCUCUUGAAAAAACAUCUUUUUUUUAAUUAGCUGGGCAUGAUGGUGUGAGCCUGUAGUCCCUGCUACACUGGAGGCUUAGGCAGGAGGAUCAUUGAAACACAAGAAUUCAAGCAAUGAUUGCACCACUGUACUCCAGCCUGGGUAACAGUAUGACAGUGAGACACUGUCUUUAAAAAAAAAAAAUGAGUUGUUAGAAAAACAGGAAAAGAGCAAAGUUGUCUGCUAGUGGGAGUACAGCAUACCAUCAUUGCUGUAUUUUUAGGUUGCUAAUUUAAUGUCAGAAAGAUUACUUCCUCUUAAGCUAUGUUGCUUAAACUGAAGGUUCCGUCACGCCAGGAAAACAGUCAUGGUUUGGUCAAGCUCCUGGAGAAAAAGGAAUCUUUUGCUAUGGAUGUGGUUUGCUUGAAUUGGAAGUUUUGGAGUAAAUAAAAUAAAGACAGACCUGAAUAUAAAAAUAGCUAUCAAGUGUUACUAAACUAUACUAAGUUUUCAACCUUAAAAAGGUUUAAGGAUAGAAACCAAAAUUUGGCCUUUUCUUCAUUCAUUCUCACUACAUUUUUAUGAUCCCAAAUUAUUUUGCUCUGGUACUCUUUUCUCCUCACAUUCCAAAGAGAAGAACUUAACCCUUUGUUCUCACUUACUUGACCCAGUUUCUAGGGUCUUGUCUUUUCAUCACUCAGCAUUGUGGAGUUUUUGUUUAUUUGUUUUAUAGAGUAAAGACCUAGAUUUUAUAGAGCAGUGGAGAUUACCUGGACCUCACUCUUUCCCCUUAGUCAGCAGUAGCUAGGCUGGGAUAAAGUGCCCCUUUUCAUGAACCUCUAUCUUAGCCCUUUCUUGGUUUUUCUUCACAUGACAGAAGCUUAAGAGACAGCAGAUACUGGUGCCCACCAAUUCAGCAGCAUGAAACAUAUUAACCUAUCUUUCCUCUUAGUGAAUUUCCUGGCAAUGUGCCACUCCGGAGAGAAUCAAAUGGCUUCUCUUGCCUUAGCUUUCCAGAUGCCAUUAAGGGUGUAUUCAUCAUAUGGUUUUCUUUGCUGACAAAAUUAGUCCUAAUAGCCUGCUUCCAUUUAUCAACAGAUACAGUUACUGUUUUAGAGAACUUGCCCCAGGAACAAAUUCAGACUAAUACCAAGGCACAGCCUUUUACGAGAUUGUUGAAGUAAAACUUAACAAGGUUUUCUUUUGUUGUUCGUGUUUUGUUUUGUUUUGUUUUGUUUGUUUUCUUUAAAGUAAGUUGUCAGGGGUUUCUCACACUUUGCUGACAAAUAGUUAUGUGGUUAAAUUGUUUUGAAUCUUAAAUCUGCAUGCAUAUGCAAGUAUUACCAAAUAUUUCCACAGAUUCCCUGAGUUCAUUCUCUCUACUGCCAUCCACCCACAUGUGCUUCCGGAUUACGAAAUGCCUAUUCACAGUUUCCACACAAAUGUCAUUCAUUCACAAACAUUUCGUGAAUUCAGUAGCUGCAGCAGAGGCCCCAUCAUGAAUUGAACAAUUUUCUAUUAUUUCUCAGGCCACUCCUUAACACCGCCACCAACCGUUCUCCCUACCUCUUCUGCCUGAGCAACAGAUAUACUUUCUCCCUGUUACCUGCAAAAGUUCUCCUUUAUCCAGAUCCUGAAAGCUUGUCCUCUCAACAAUUAUAUAUUCCUCCCUAGAAGGAAACUUAUACCAGCUGCCAUUCUCUUAGACCCUGCCAACCAACCACCAACUUUGAAAAGGGGUGAGUAGAGCCUGAGAAAGGGCAGCAGAAGAGAUAGGGCCAAUCAUGGACGGACUGGAAGAGAGUGAUAUAGACUCAGCUGAAAAUUGAACUCUGCAGAGAGGCCAGGCAAUGAUGGGGUAGCUCAGUAGGAGUUGGCUAUAUUAACCAGGGCUCUUAGGUCUCAAGAGACAGGCACCUAAUUCAAACCAGUUUAAGAGUGGAAUGGAAAUGUAUUGGCUCUGUUAUCUGCGAAGGAUAUUGGAGAAACAUAUGACUGAAAGGAAAGCUGCAAGAACCACACAUCAGGGCCUACAGAGAGGGAACAAACUAGCGUUUGUUCUCCCUCCCCUCAUCACCCAUUUCUGUUUGUUCCUUCUUGGUUUCAUUUCACACAGGGGCUGUCUUACAUGGUGAGAAAAUGGCUUAGGGGACUCCUAGCCUUGGGCCCAUACACAAAGAGCACUUCUUUUUAAUGUGGCCAUACACAAAUUUCAAAUGAGACUGAUUGCCCUGCUUGGGUCACAUGACCUUUGCUGCAUAUGAAGGGAGGGAAGUCCCACCAGAAUAACAAGAGAAAUGGAACAGUUACACAAAAAGCAGGAGCGAUGUUACCUGAAGAAGUAUGAGAAAAUAUAAUAGGCAAACCAAACAAGCAAUAGCUAUUGCCAACCUUCUGAAAGACCACAGGCUCCCUGGGAGCUAAGGAGAGUAUGCUAAAAAGAGGAUGACGAGGAGGAGGCGAAUGCCAAAAACCCUGUCGAUGUCACAACUCUCCUUGGCCAGAUGUGUGACAAUGGCAGAAACUUUGAAGAGUUGACUUGGCUACUUUUGGGUUGCCAUGGGGAAGCGGUCAUUGAAUUAUUAGCUAGUAAAGUCCUGAGCAGCCAAAGCUUGGGUGAGGAUUUAAGAGUGGAAAACAAAUAAUCCUUAAAGGCUGGACUCGAUCUGGAAACUGCUAUUUUCCAGUCCAAUAGACCCAGGGGCCACUGGACAUUGUGGCACAUGCCUAUAGUUACAGCUACUGAGGAAGUUGAAAGAGGUUAAUCAAUUGAGCCCAGGAGUUCAAGGCGGCAGUGAGGUAGGGUCACACCACUGCACUCCAGUUUGGGCAACAGGGUGAGACUCCAUCUCAAAAAAACAAAAAAGAAGAGGAAGAAAAAGAUCAAGGGACUUUUACAACUCCCUUCACUGAGAGAAAUUGCUAUGUACCCAGGGACAAGCUCGGAAUUCAGAAGAAGGAAUAGAGACACAGGGAAAAGCACAUAAAUGGCACCCUUUCUUCGUUAGGUGGCUGUCCCCUGCAUUCGGCAGAGCAAAGGGAAAAGGCAGAAACAAUCUAACAUAUUAGCAAUUCACAAAUCUCUUCAGUAGCCAUAGUCUAGGACUGAGUACAGUUAAUGUAGCCUAGUCCACAUGGAGAAAUUUAGGUUUAGCUGCAAAUUAUAUUGAAAAUUUCUGGCAGCAAAACAUGACCAUAAAAAGGAAAAGGGUACGGGGCAAAGGACAAUGCAAGACACCAAAGAGGUAGAUAAGCAAAUCAUGUAAUCUAAAAGAAAGAAGUCACUCAGGUUAGAAGGACAAGGUAGGUUGAUUUAUCUUCACAUAUUCCAACUGCCUUAAUAAAUAAAGGCACUCAGUAAGUAACUUUUUAAAUGAAUGAGUACUGUCUCUUUUUAUACGUGGCUUCUCAUUUCCGUACCCCUUUUCUUUUUAACUCUUUUCAUUUUCUAAUUUUCUAUGAGCUUGUGAGGCAUUUCUGUUUUUCAAAUACAUUUCCUUUUUGCUUAAAAAUACUUUUAAAAGUAUUUAAUUAUAUAAGUGAAACAAUACAAUUUCAUUGUAGAUGAUUUUUAAAAUUCAGAAGUGUAGUAAAAUGUUCAAGUCUUCUUUUAACACACACACACAUGCACAUCAAAAUCUUGCUCCUACCCUCAGAAGCUUGUAACUAUUUGAGAAAUAUCCUUUCAAAAUAUUCUGUGCAUUCAAGUGUAUGCUCUGCAACACCCAUAUAUGUAUAUGUAUAUAUAUUUAUAUAUAGAGAGAGAUGACUAGCUAGAGUUUUGUUAGCUUAAAUUCUUUUAUGAAUUUUUUUCCCUUGAAAUUAUGACUUAGAGAUCAUUUUAUAUCAGUACAUAUGAGUAUGCAAUAUUAUUUUUAAUGUCAAUAAUAAUCUAUCAUUUAUUUAACCAGUCUUUUACUGAUGGACAAUUCCCAUUUUUUGCUGUUAAGAUUUGCACUCUUCUAUCUCAAUGUGCUAGUCUGGAAAAAUGAUUUGUAGGUUACCAACUUACUACUUAACCUUGAAAGUUGAGUAAAAGUGGGACUGACUGCAGUAGGAGAAGAAUUAGGGGCUGAAAUGCAAAGCGGUAAUAGAAUAUAUACACCUGACUCAUCUCUUGAACAUGUUUUCUUCCAGAACUAAACAAUGGAUGUGGUAAUCAUAGGAUGCUACUGGUUUGGAUAUUGGGGCUCUUCAAUUUUAAUGAAAACUAGGGCUUUCUUGUUUAUGUAGCAUUGUUUAUUUUGAUAUUUCUUUGCUUUUUCCUUGACUAUAAAAAUCAUUUACUAAGAAAAUUUGGAAAACACAGUAAUGGAAAAAAAAACCUGUAAGAACCACUGUUAUUGCUCCUUUUACCCUUUAUUGGACAUAUAUACGUGAACAAAAUUGAGAUACAGUAUAAAAUAGAUUUGUGUCCUUUUAUUUUUUUAAUUUUUAAUUUUAUGGUAUUUAGUAGGUAUAUAUACUUAUGGGACACGUGUGAUAUUUUGAUACAGGCAUGCAUUGUCUAACAAUCAUGUCAGGGUAAAUGGACUAUCUAUCACUUCAGGCACUUACCCUUUCUUUGUGUUACAAAAUUCUAAUUAUAUUAUUUUAGUUACUUUUAAAUGUAGAAUAAACUAUUGUUGACUGUACUCACCUGUUGUGCCAUCAAAUACUAAGUCUUACUUAUUCUAUCUGUGUUUUUAUACUCAUUAACCAUCCUCAUUUCCACCUCCUCUGUACUACUCUUAGCCUCUGGUAAUCAUCAUUCUACUCUCUAUUUUGAUGAGUUCAAUUGUUCUAAUUUUUAACUCCAACAAAUGAGAACAUGUGAUGUUUGUCUUUCUGUACCUCACUUAUUUCACUUAACAUAAUGUCCUCCAGUUCCAGCCACGUUGUUGCAAAUGACAGACUCACAUUCUUUUUUAUGGGUGAAUGGUACUCCAUUGUGUAUACAUAUCACAUUUUCUGCAGCCAUUCUGCUGUUGAUGGGCACUUGGGUUGUUUCCAAAUUUUGGCUAUUGUGAAUAAUGCUACAAUAAAUAUGGUGGUGCAAAUAUCUCUUUGAUAUACAGAUUUCCUUUCUUUGCGGUAUAUACUUAGCAAUGGGAUUGCUGGAUCAUAUGGUAGUUCCAUAGUUCUAUUUCUAGUUUUUUGAGGAACCUCUAAAACUGUUCUCUAUAGUGGUUAUACCAAUUUACAUUCUCAACUACAGUGUACAAGGGUUCCCAUUUCUCUACAUCCUUACCGGCAUUUGUUAUUGUCUAUCUUUUGGAUAAAAGCCAUUUUAACUGGAGUGAGAUAUUCAUUACAGUUUUGAUUUGCAGUUUU